UACGUAGGUGGCAAGCGUUGUCUGGAAUUAUUGGGCGUAAAGCGCGCGCAGGCGGUCCUUUAAGUCUGAUGUGAAAGCCCACGGCUCAACCGUGGAGGGUCAUUGGAAACUGGGGGACUUGAGUACAGAAGAGAAGAGUGGAAUUCCACGUGUAGCGGUGAAAUGCGUAGAGAUGUGGAGGAACACCAGUGGCGAAGGCGACUCUUUGGUCUGUAACUGACGCUGAGGCGCGAAAGCGUGGGGAGCAAACAGG
rnacentral:rRNA from 1 species